UUUCGAACCAGUUGGCUCUAUCCAGGGACAACUUAUAGAAGAAUGGUUGAACCACUGGACAUUGCUGCCUUCUACAGAGAGGGUAGAACAGACUACAUAAACAAUGGAAGAUCUCCUCAUUACAAGCUGUUGCAGCAAUGGUAUGAGGAAGAUGUGAAGCCCCCAUCCAGAGAUAAGCUCGAUUCCAAGAAACUAAAGGUGUCUGGUAUCCUAACUGAGGAUUCUUUGUUUUGGGCACAUGUGGAGGAGGCUCUCUUGUCAUGCGAAUCGCUCAAGAGUGCAAACUCUACUCUUGAGCAGAGAAAAUCAUCAUGGGAUAAUCUGGUUAAGUUUGGGGAGUAUGUAAUGGAACAGAUUGGAAACUAUGCAGUGUCCCCUGAGAUUUUCUUGGGGGAAAGCAGCUUCAUGAAAUGGUGGGGAGUGUAUGAGGACUACAUAGAUGCUUCCAAUAAUUCCUAUGGGUCACCAUUGAUCAGCUUUAUGAAGAACCGUAGUUAUAGACUGUAUGGUUAGAGGGCAAUCCAGUUUGUGUAUUGUGUUUAUUGUAUUGUGAGCAUUCAAUAGAUAAAACUAGAAAGAGCGUGACCUUUUUAUGACAACUUUAGAAACCAGGGGUUAAAAGAGACAUUACAAACUGAAGUUUUUGAGAGGAAACCUCAAGAGUAUACUGGGAAGCCAUGGUGGAACAAGUAGAGAGGAAGCCUCAGAAGGAAGGAGCAAUGGUUGAACCACUUGACAUUGUUGCCUACUACAGGGAGGGUGUAAGAAACAACAUAACCGAGGGAAGAUCUGAACGUUAAACGUUGUCCAAUUAUUAUAAAUGUCUUAUACAUUACGUGUGAAAAUACCAAAAAAAAUUAUAUUCAACAUUUAUGUUUGUAUACAAGCAAUAUUUUGGAUAGUUUGAUAUAAAAAACAAAUGAAGAAAAUGAAGAAAAACAUACAAAUAUAUUUACAAUGGACAAACUUAUACAAUUAGUAUAAAUGUCUUGUAUAUUUAGUACAAAUGUCUCGUACUUUGUAAAAAUAUAAAAAUAUAGUAUUUGACUUUUAUAUAUGUGUGAAAAUGUAAAAAGAAAAAGAAAAAUAGUUAGAGCAUUUGGUACCGUGAGUGAUGACUUCACCUAAAGAAAGGUUAAUGAAUAUUAUGGUCUCGAUGGAAGAGCGACUCCGGUAAAAUAUAUGGAUUAAAUUGAUGCUUUUCUUUUGACGAUGAAGUAGUUGAGUUAUGAAUACGAGGUUUUGCUAACAGCAUUGAAGGCAAGGAUUCCCUAAUAUACUCCAAUUCAUAUUCAAUUUGUAGACCUUCAACUAACUACUCUUGCUAACGAGCAUAUCCAAGUCAAUACAUAAGAUUAAUUAAGAUUAAGUAUUACGUAUGAUAAUUGAAACCCUAUUUAAAUAAAUAAUGACACAUAUAUAAAAAAUAUAUAUAUUUUUAAAAAAAUAAAUAACAAUUUAGAGAAUUUCAUAACUUAGCAUCAAACCUAUUGUAAGAAAGAGUAUUAUACAAUGUAGGGUUUAGGAUCCAAGUCAACCUAAGAUCAAAUUUAAGUUUUAAGAUCAAUUCACAUUCAAAACUAAGGUUUUAAGUUUCAAAAAUAUAUUUCUUAAACCAAUUAAAUGGAAAAAAGAAAAUUACAAAGAAAAUUUCUCCCUCAUCAGUUUCUUUUAUCUUGAAAACUAAAGGAAAUAUAUAUCAAUAUUUGAGAUGGAAAUUCAUAAUCUUAGGUGGUGUUUGUUUUUUUGGCUUUUUGCUGAAAACUAUUUAGUUUUAGAAUUUAGGUUUUUUUUUUUUUUUACUUUUUCAUGACUUAUAAUAAACUUUUUACUAAAUAGAAAAAACCAAAAUAUGUGGUUUUUUCUAAAUAGAAAAAAUAACACAAUGGUUUUUUUUACUUUUUAAUACUUAAUAGAAAUAAAAUACUACAAAAACAAACAUCUUAAUAUUUAAUACUAUUAAGUAUUAAGGUUCUAUUUAGAAUUAAGUAAAAAAACAAACACCACCUUAGAAACACAAAGAACAAAGAGAGUAUGAAGAGACCAUACCAUGAGAGAUUUUCCGAAAGGUUGGUAAACCAUGGUAAUCACCUUUGAGUCUUGCUGAGAAAAACAAACCUUAUUUAUUUUUAUUUUUUUAUCAUUUUUUCUCUUGUGUGGUGUACAUUUAAGAAAAACAAAUCUCAAAAAAAAAAAAAAACACAAACCAAAUAAUGCCAGAAUUUGGGUUGAGAAACACCCAAAAGAUAGUGGCCCAAUACAUGUGCCUAAGAAAAUCUUCAUGAGCCGAUAAACAUAGUCACAAAACUAGUAACAGCCUUGUAGCCAUAGUUGGUGUAGUAUGAGCAAGUGGGGUAUGAAGUAGGUAGGUGAGUAUUGCAAUGAAAUUUCCAGCACUGCUUCCUGAAUUAAGAAAUCACAUACCCAAGUCUUAGUCGUCGUCGUCGUCGUACCGUGUGAGAACCGGGAAGAAUCUUUGCUCGUAGACUGGCUUUUGUAGUCUUUCUUUAACAAUUACAAGUUAUCUGAAUUCCCUUCAUCCUCCUAUAUAAUAUUGUUUUGGUCUUGUUCUUGUUGCAUUGUGGCUAGGCAUCUCCAUGGAAGGAAGGAGGAUGAAUCAAGUUCCUUUGUAUGAAUCAAUUUCUCUGCUCUUUUUUUUUUUCAAUCCUUGAAUCGAAUCAUUGCUUAGUUCUUGCUUUAAUUUCUCCAUUUUCUGUUGGGUCUUUGAUUGCAGGUUUAGCUCUGCAAGAGAACUGGGAAAUUUAAUUGUGACCUCCAAUCUAAUCGACUCUGCUUUGACUAAAAUUCUUGAGCUUCAAAGAGACCAAACAGCCUUGCUUUCCCCCGUUCAAUACAGAGUUUUUUUAUCCAUCUCCCAACUGCACAAUUGUAGCUUUUGUCUCUUCACCUGACUGCACUCAAAACCCUCUUCCUGGACAAGGAGAUUUAGUUCCCUCUCCUCUCUUUGACUUCCUCUGCACCGAAGAAUACAAGUCCGUCUCCAUUAACAGAGCUGCAUUAACCCUCUUUACCUCUCUCCACGAUCAUCUCUCUGGACUAAAAACUCAGGUCAAAAUAUGAUAGUUGUUUUUAUUUUCGUUUCCUUUUUGUUAACAAUUGUGAGACAUGAAACAGCUUGACCAUGAGAUCUCUCUCAUAGAGUCAAACUACCUGAAGAAGAAGAAGACGUUACACAUAUCCAUCUGCGUUGCAUCAUCGCAUUACCCAUUGAUCGGUUGUGAUUCAACUCUUAAUAGGAAGACAGUAGAACUGGUGUUGGUAUCUGUUUUUAGAUCAGCUUAUAUGUAUCUUGUUGCUAAAAAGGGAAUGUUUAGAAGUGAGAUUAAUGGGAUUAUUCUGACAUGGAUUUCAUAUGGUUACCUGUUUUGCAGUUGACUGUGAUUGAAGGUCAAUUAAUCAUCACUGGGCACUCCCUGGGAGGAGCCGUUGCUUCUCUCUUCACCUUAUGCCUGCUAGAUGAAAAUUUAUUAAAACCCAAAUGCCGCCCCUUUUGUAUCACCUUUGGUUCACCCCUCGUCGGCGGCUUUGGCCUCCAACACUCCAUAUGGAAUUCUUUCUUCCUGCAUGUAGUGUCUAACCAAGACCCAGUCCCCGGUCUCUUCCUCCCAUCUGGCAGAGGCAGAUCUACGCCCACAUCCUCCCAUUCACAAACUACCGGUUACAAGCCCUUUGGGACAUAUCUCUUGUGCUCUGAACUUGGUUGUGCUUGUUUUGACAACCCUGAUUUAAUUUUGGAAUUGCUGAAAGUCAUAUCAUCAGAGGUUGCCGGAGGAUUGCAGGAUGUUGAUUAUGGGGAGAUUUUAAGAAACCUCAAGGAGAGGGCAAUCUGCAAGGGACUUCCGCAGGUGGGUGAAAGGUUUGCAAAUCCAUUUUCAGCUGGGAUCAUCAUGGAACUUGAGACAAUUGGAUUUAAUCAAACAAAGGUAAACAGCUUUCUCCCAUCUAAUGAUGUUAUGGAACAUGGUUUACACCUCAUUAAAUACUGCAACAACUGCCCUAUUUAGAUUUACCUUCUUGUUCUUUGGGAUUUUCCAUAACUAGACUCAUUUUUUAAUUUCAUGGCAGCUGCUGCAGCAUAACAUUGAUAUCGAGACUGUGAUAAGCGCAAUGGAAGCGGAAGCAAGAAACCUAACCCAGAAAAAUAAAGCUUCCGAUGCCAAGAAACUGAAUGAAAUAAAAAUAGACAUGACCCGGCUAGAAUUGUAUAAGAAGAAUUCGAACAUGGGUUACUACGAUUGCUUCAAAAACCAGGGGUCUAAAAGGGACAUCCACGUUGAACAGUUUAGGGUAAACCUCACAGGGUACUGGGAAGGCAUGGUUGCACAAAUACAGAGGAAGCCUCAUAAGGAAGGAGCAACAUUUCGAACCCGUUGGCUCUAUGCAGGGACGGUUUAUAGAAGAAUGGUUGAACCACUGGACAUUGCUGCCUUCUACAGAGAGGGUAGAAAAGACUACAUGAAUAAAAGAUCUGCACAUUACAAGCUGUUGCAGGAAUGGUAUGAGGAAGAUGUGAAACCCCCCUCUAGAGAUAAGCUUGAUUCCAAGAAGCAAAAGGUGUCCAGUAUCCUAACUGAGGAUUCUUGCUUUUGGGCACAUGUGGAGGAGGCUAUCUUGUCAUGCGAAUUGCUCAAGAGUGAAAACUGUAAUCUUGAGGAGGGAAAAUCAUCAUGGGAUAAUCUGGUUAAGUUCGAGGAGUAUGUAAUGGAACAGAUUGACAACUAUGCAGUGUCCCCUGAGAUUUUCUUGGAGAAAAGCAGCUUCAUGAAAUGGAGGGGACUGUAUGAGGGCUACAUAGAUACUCGCAGUAAUUCCCAUAGCUCGCCAUUGAUCAGCUUUAUGAAGAAUCGUAGUUAUAGACAAUAUGGAUAGAGGGGUAAUCCAGUUUGUGUGUUGUGUGUAUUGUUUUGUGAGCAUUCAAUGGAUAGAACUAGAAAGAGUGUGACCUUUUCCUUUUUUUUUUCAGUUGCUGCCCAUAUUCUCAGCACUAUUUUCUUCCUUCUUUUCCUCAGUUUUUUUGUUAAGAAAUGAAUAUUAUGAUGUUGCCGGGAUGCACUUUCAUUUUUGUUCCAUUACAUUGUGUUUUAUUCAUAUCCUAAACAAAUAAAUGUAAACAAGAAAAUCAAAUGAGACUUCAAAGAGUCUGUUCCUUUUAAAGCAAGGGAAAAAAAGGACAUGUUUGUUUACUUCCACAGCUGGGUAGAUUCAACUCCACCAAAAUUGGCAACAACUUCCCAUUGAAAAAUUCCUUUUAAGCUUGAAUGACAUAAAACUAGAUAUGUUCCAGCUAGAAUGGUACAAGAAAGAAAUCAAAAGAUGAGCACAAUGGGUUAUUAUGACAGCUUUAGAAACCUGGGGUGUAAAAGAGACAUUAAAAUGGAACCGAGGGGAAGACAUUGUAGAACAAGUAAAGAGGAAGCCUCACCAGGAAGGGCAGCUUUGCAAACCCUCUGGCUCUGUACAGGAACGAAUUAUAGAAAGAUGGUUGAACCACUUGACAUUGCUGCCUACCACAGAGAGGGUGGAAGAAACUACAUAACCAAUGGAGGAUGUAAACAUUACACGCUAUUAGAGCAAUGAUGCAAUGAAGAGAAGGGGACUUUGUCUUCCAAUAAUUUAAGAAAAUAAAACCAAAUAAUGCCAGAAUUUGGGUUGAGAAACACCCAAAAGAUAGUGGCCCAAUAUGAAGUAGUCACAAAACUAGUAACAGCCUUGUGGCCAUAGUUGGUGUAGUAUGAGCAAGUGGGGUAUGAAGUAGGUAGGUGAGUAUUGCAAUGAAAUUUCCAGCACUGCUUCCUGAAUUAAGAAAUCACAUACUCAAGUCUUAAUCGUUGUCAUCAUACCGUGUGAGAACCGAGGAAGAAUCUUUGCUCUUAGACUGGAUUUUGUAGUCUUUCUUUAACAAUUACAAGUUAUCUGAAUUCCCUUCAUCCUCCUAUAUAAUAUUGUUUUUGGUCUUGUUCUUGUUGCAUUGUGGCUAGGCAUCUCCAUGGGAGGAAGGAGGAUGAAUCAAGUUCCUUUGUAUGAAUCAAUUUCUCUGCUCUUUUUUUUUUCAAUCCUUGAAUCGAAUCAUUGCUUAGUUCUUGCUUUAAUUUCUCCAUUUUCUGUUGGGUCUUUGAUUGCAGGUUUAGCUCUGCAAGAAAACUGGGAAAUUUAAUUGUGACCUCCAAUCUAAUCGACUCUGCUUUGACUAAAAUUCUUGAGCUUCAAAGAGACCAAACAGCCUUGCCUUCCCCCGUUCAAUACAGAGUUUUUUAUCCAUCUCCCAACUGCACAAUUGUAGCUUUUGUCUCUUCACCUGACUGCACUCAAAACCCUCUUCCUGGACAAGGAGAUUUAGUUCCCUCUCCUCUCUUUGACUUCCUCUGCACCGAAGAAUACAAGUCCGUCUCCAUUAACAGAGCUGCAUUAACCCUCUUUACCUCUCUCCACGAUCAUCUCUCUGGACUAAAAACUCAGGUCAAAAUAUGAUAGUUGUUUUUAUUUUCGUUUCCUUUUUGUUAACAAUUGGGAGACAUGAAACAGCUUGACCAUGAGAUCUCUCUCAUAGAGUCAAACUACCUGAAGAAGAAGAAGACGUUACACAUAUCCAUCUGCGCUGCAUCAUCGCAUUACCCAUUGAUCGGUUGUGAUUCAACUCUUAAUAGGAAGACAGUAGAACUGGUGUUGGUAUCUGUUUUUAGAUCAGCUUAUAUGUAUCUUGUUGCUAAAAAGGGAAUGUUUAGAAGUGAGAUUAAUGGGAUUAUUCUGACAUGGAUUUCAUAUGGUUACCUGUUUUGCAGUUGACUGUGAUUGAAGGUCGAUUAAUCAUUACUGGGUACUCGAUGGGAGGAUCCGUUGCUUCUCUCUUCACCUUAUGCCUGUUAGAAGUCAUCAAUUUAUCAAAACCCAAAUGCCGCCCCAUUUGUAUCACCUUUGGUUCACCCCUCAUAGGCGACUUUGGCCUCCAACACUCCAAUUGGAAUUCUUUCUUCUUGCAUGUAGUGUCCAACCAAGAUCUAGUCCCCGGACUCUUCCUCCCAUCCGACAGAUCUCCUCCCACAUCCUCCCAUUCACAAACUACUGGUUACAAGCCCUUUGGGACAUAUCUCUUGUGCUCUGAACUUGGUUGUGCUUGUUUUGACAACUCUGAUUUAAUUUUGGAAUUGCUGAAAGUCAUAUCAUCAGAGGUUGCCAGAGGAUUGCGGGAUGUUGAUUACAGGAAGAUUUUAAGAAACCUCAAGGAGAGGGCAAUCUGCAAGGGACUUCCGCAGGUGGGUGAAAGGUUUGCAAAUCCAUUUUCAGCUGGGAUCAUCAUGGAACUUGAGACGAUUGGAUUUAAUGAAACAAAGGUAAACAGCUUUCUCCCAUCUACUGAUGUUAUGGAACAUGGUUUACACAUCAUUAAAUACUGCAACAACUGCCCUAUUUAGAUUUAGGGCAAUGAUGAAAAUAUCAGUAAUCACGGAUAUAUCAGUAUUUCGAUUUUACGGAUAUAUCGGAUAUAUCGGAGAUAUAUCGGUAGAUAUUUUGAAAAAAAAUAUCGGCAAGCUUAAAAUUGUUAAAAACUCAUGAAAAUAUAAGAAAAUCUCAUAAUAAUAUAAUUAAAAGUAUAAUAGACAUUUUAAAGUUAUUUUAUUGAAAAUUUUGAUAUAUGUAUAACAUGAUUUAUCAUAUUUGAUAAUAAUAUCGUAUGCGUCGAUAAAAAUAUGAAUUUUAUAAGUGUACAUUUAUUAUUAAAUUACACCUAAUAUUAUGAUAUCUGAUUAUAAUAUGUCUAAUUUUAAAAUAUAUAUUAGUAUUAAAAUAUGAUCCAUUUAAUUCAAUUGUAUUAAACAAUAUAAAAUAAAUAAUGAUAUAUAUAUAUAUAUAUAUAAUUUUUUAAUAUUUAAUUAAUUAUUAAUGAUAUUAAAAACAUUAUGAAGAAAAUUAUAUAAUUUUUUAAUUUUUGGUAAUUAAUUAAAAGACUUUGCAUUUAAUUAUAAAUUAAUUAUAAUUAAUUUACUCUUUAAAAUAUUCUUAUAUUUUCUUUAUAUAAUGAAUUUAAGUAUAUAUAUAGUUGUUGCAUAUUAUAUAUUAAAGGACAACUUAGCCCAAGUGGUAAGCGAGUGAACCCCAAUGUGAGGCAUUGUAGCACGUGCACUGUAGCAUCACUGUAGCGACUCUGACUUUCGUUGACCCGCAUUGACUACACGAUAUAUCGGAGAAAAAUCACUGAUUUAUCGCCAAAUCACCAAUAAAUCGCCGAUUUCUCGCGAUAAAUACCAAAAUAUAGUGUCGAAACCCUUCGAUACACGAUUUUUCGGCGCAUUUUCUUACUUGGAUUUACCUUUUUGUUCUUUGGGAUCUUCCAUGACUCAUUUUUUAAUGCCAUUUUAUUUUCCUUUUUGUUUCUAAAUUUUUAAAAAAUCGUUUUCACUUCUUUUUUUUAAGAAAAUUUUGGCAAAUUUUGAAAAUAUAAUAUUAGUGUUUUCACUUCUUUCUUUUUUUUUUUUUUCUUUUUUUUUUUAAACUCAAUUUUCUAAAAAAUGAAAAUAGAAAAACAUUGUCUAAACAUGUUUGUAAACUUAAUUUUAUUUUUUUAUAAAUGAAAAAAAAAAUCUAAAUGAGUAAGGCUUUAUUAAUUUUAAUUUUUUUCUUUUCCUUAUAUUUUCUUAUUUUAUUCCAAAUUUUCUUGCAACCAAACAUAAUCUAAAUGUUUACAACUUUUAUUGUAAGGAAUGAAUGACACUACUUUGUGAACUUUUAUGAUAAUAUUUUGAAUCAUAAAUUGUGUUUUUUUUAGUAAUAUCAAUUUUAUUACCAAUGACUUAAUUGUUAAUAACAAAAUAUAAUAUUUAUAAAUAUUUUUAUUCUCAACAGGCUACAAUUUUUACUCUUGUGAUAAAAAAAAUUUUGUCAUAAAUUACACAUUAUGAUGAGUUUUUCUAUUUUCCUUAUCAGCCAAUUCAACAAAUAUCAUAUAUAUUGUAAUGGCUAACAAAUUUUCACAUAAAUUUUUUAUAAGAUAAAGUAGAAUGGAAUUAUUCAAUUUCAAAAAAAAAAAAAAUGGUACCUAAUGAAAAAGAUAAAAUAUAUAGAUCAUCUCGAAGAAAUCAGGAAAGAUAAAUGAUGAGACCAUAUAUAGGACCCUUGAUGGAGACUAUUUUAAUUGAAGUGGUGUGCUCCUUCCGACUCAGAACAUGUUCAGCAUUGCACACAAACUAACAUCGUCGAUCUUGAGUAUGAAAAAGGUGAUUAGAUUCCAAGGUUGUCGUUUGUCCCAACUCCUCAUAUUAGAGGUGAUGCUCAAGCUAACGUGCCUCGCAGUUGAGCCCCGGCCAAUCGGUCUAAUAUGCUUUUCCAAUGGUGAGUUUCACUGCCACCAUGUAUUACAUUAAUUCCGAUAGCGCACAAGUUGUGUUUGUGCUAUUGCUUUUUGCCCUCACAAACAUAUACACAAGAGACAUUCAGACCAGAUCUGUUCUACCAUCCUCUAGGAAAGCAUUGUAGGUCAUUUGAAAUUGGGAUUUCAGCACCAGAGUCAAAUUGCCUUCCUUCCUGAAAGAUGAGCAUUUUUUAUACUCUUACAUCGGCUUUUAUGGAAAUGAAAUCAGCUUCUCAUUCUGUUACAUUUUUCAAUUUUGCUGCCUAUAACUGCUCACUGCCUGUUUGUGAGACAUUAUCCAGAUUUUCCCUGAUCAAUUAUAGAGAGGUCAUUGGACUCAUCCAUGAUUGGAAUUUCCUGUUAUCAUUAUUUGCAAAUCAUCAACCAUUUGUCAUGAUAUCUUAAGUUAAGCUGAGCACGAAUUUCAGCUAAGAUCCUCAGAACUAGAAAUAUGCACUGCAGGUAUUACUUGAUAUGUGAAUAUCCAAUACAAUAUUUUUUUACUAAGAGGAAUACGAAUUUGAAACACUUUCCAAUAAUUUAUCAAGUCAUAUUUUCGUGCUGUCGUGAUACAUGUGUCUACUGUAUGCAUGGCUUUUCUUUUCUACACAUGCCUUUAUCUUUGCACAUGACUCUUUUGAUACACGCCAGCAUCAAGGCAAUUGCCUAAAUCUAAAUCACAUCCUUUGUGUCACGUCUUCCUUGUUACCACGGUCCUCUUGUACACCAUGGUCCCUUAAUGUAACUUGUGCCACAAGCCCUUUGUGCAUGAAUUCAAAUUGUUCAAUCAUUUCGCCAUUUACACCUUUUAAGGUCCAAUAAGCGUAUACAAGAGACUACACUCAUUCUAGAUGAUAAAGUACAUUCAACUAACUACUCUUGCUAAUGAGCAUAUCCAAGUCAAUACAUAAGAUUAAUUAUUACAUAUGGUAAUUGAAACCCUGUUUAAAUAAAUAGUGACACAAAUAUAAAAAAUAUAUAUAUUUAAAAAUAAAUAAAUAACAAUUUAGAGAAUUUCAUAACUUAGUAUCAAACCUAUUGUAGGAAAGAGUAUUAUACAAUGUAGGGUUUAGGAUCAAAGUUAACCUAAGAUCAAUUUUAAGUUUUAAGACCAAUUCAAAUUCAAAACUAAGGUUUUAAGUUUCAAAAAUAUAUCUCUUAAACCAAUUAAAUAGAAAAAAGAAAAUUACAAAGAAAAUUUCUUCCUCAUCGGUUUCUUUUAUCUUGAAAACUAAAGGAAAUAUAUAUCAAUAUUUGAGAUGGAAAUUCAUAAUCUUAGAAACACAAAGAACAAAGAGAGUAUGAAGAGACCAUACCAUGAGAGAUUUUCCAAAAGGUUGGUAAACCAUGGUAAUCACCUUUGAGUUUUGCUGAGAAAAACAAACCUUAAUUUUUAUUUUUAUUUUUUUAUCAUUUUUUCUCUUGUGGUGUACAUUUAAGAAAAACAAAUCUUAAAAAAAAAAAAAAAAAAACCAAAUAAUGCCAGAAUUUGGGUUGAGAAACACCCAAAAGAUAGUGGCCCAAUACAUGUGCCUAAGAAAAUCUUCAUGAGCCGAUAAACAUAGUCACAAAACUAGUAACAGCCUUGUAGCCAUAGUUGGUGUAGUAUGAGCAAGUGGGGUAUGAAGUAGGUAGGUGAGUAUUGCAAUGAAAUUUCCAGCACUGCUUCCUGAAUUAAGAAAUCACAUACCCAAGUCUUAGUCGUCGUCGUCGUACCGUGUGAGAACCGGGAAGAAUCUUUGCUCGUAGAGUGGCUUUUGUAGUCUUUCUUUAACAAUUACAAGUUAUCUGAAUUCCCUUCAUCCUCCUAUAUAAUAUUGUUUUUGGUCUUGUUCUUGUUGCAUUGUGGCUAGGCAUCUCCAUGGAAGGAAGGAGGAUGAAUCAAGUUCCUUUGUAUGAAUCAAUUUCUCUGCUCUUUUUCUUUUCAAUCCGUGAAUCGAAUCAUUGCUUAGUUCUUGCUUUAAUUUCUCCAUUUUCUGUUGGGUCUUUGACUGCAGGUUUAGCUCUGCAAGAGAACUGGGAAAUUUAAUGGUGACCUCCAAUCUAAUCGACUCUGCUUUGACUAAAAUUCUUGAGCUUCAAAGAGACCAAACAGCCUUGCUUUCCUCCGUUCAAUACAGAGUUUUUUAUCCAUCUCCCAAGUGCACAAUUGUAGCUUUUGUCUCUUCACCUGACUGCACUCAAAACCCUCUUCCUGGACAAGGAGAUUUAGUUCCGUCUCCUCUCUUUGACUUCCUCUGCACCGAAGAAUACAAGUCCGUCUCCAUUAACAGAGCUGCAUUAACCCUCUUUACCUCUUUCCACGAUCAUCUCUCUGGACUAAAAACUCAGGUCAAAAUAUGAUAGUUGUUUUUAUUUUCGUUUCCUUUUUGUUAACAAUUGUGAGACAUGAAACAGCUUGACCAUGAGAUCUCUCUCAUAGAGUCAAACUACCUGAAGAAGAAGAAGACGUUACACAUAUCCAUCUGCGUUGCAUCAUCGCAUUACCCAUUGAUCGGUUGUGAUUCAACUCUUAAUAGGAAGACAGUAGAACUGGUGUUGGUAUCUGUUUUUAGAUCAGCUUAUAUGUAUCUUGUUUCUAAAAAAGGUAAGUUUAGAAGUGAGAUUAAUGGGAUUAUUCUGACAUGGAUUCCAUAUGGUUACCUGUUUUGCAGUUGACUCAGAUUGAAGGUCAAUUAAUCAUCACUGGGCACUCCCUGGGAGGAUCCGUUGCUUCUCUCUUCACCUUAUGCCUGCUAGAUGGAAAUUUAUUAAAACCCAACUGCCGCCCCUUUUGUAUCACCUUUGGUUCACCCCUCAUCGGCGGCUUUGGCCUCCAACACUCCAUAUGGAAUUCUUUCUUCCUGCAUGUAGUGUCUAACCAAGACCCAGUCCCCGGUCUCUUCCUCCCAUCUGGCAGAGGCAGAUCUACGCCCACAUCCUCCCAUUCACAAACUACCGGUUACAAGCCCUUUGGGACAUAUCUCUUGUGCUCUGAACUUGGUUGUGCUUGUUUGGAAAAGCCUGAUUUAAUUUUGGGAUUGCUGAAAGUCAGAUCAUCCGAGGUUGCCGGAGGAUUGCAGGAUGUUGAUUAUGGGGAGAUUUUAAGAAACCUCAAGGAGAGGGCAAUCUGCAAGGGACUUCAGCAGGUGGGUGAAAGGUUUGCAGAUCCUUUUACAGCUGGGAUCAUCAUGGACCUUGAGAUAAUUGGAUUUGAUCAAACAAAGGUAAACAGCUAGCUUUCUCCCAUCUAAUGAUGUUAUGAAACAUGGUUUACACUUCACCAAAUACUGCAACAACUGCCCUAUUUAGAUUUGCCGUCUUGUUCUUUGGGAUCUUCCAUAACUAGACUCAUUUUUUAAUUUCAUGGCAGCUGCUGCAGCAUAACAUUGAUAUCGAGACUGUGAUAAGCACAAUGGAAGAGGAAGCCAGAAACCCAACCAAAAAAAAUAAAGCUUUCGAUGCCAAGAUUCUGAAUCACAAAAAAAAAGACAUGGCCGGGCUAGAAUGGUAUAAGAAGAAAUCAAAAGAUCUGAACAAGGGUUACUACGACUGCUUCAAAAACCAGGGGUCAAAAAGGGACAUUAAAAUUGAACAGUAUGGGGGACACCUCACAUUAUACUGGAAAGACAUGGUUGCACAAGUACAGAGGAAGCCCCAGAAGGAAGGAGCAACAUUUCGAACCCGUUGGCUCUAUGCAGGGACGGUUUAUAGAAGAAUGGUUGAACCACUGGACAUUGCUGCCUUCUACGUAGAGGGUGGAACAGACUACAUGAAGAAUGAAAGAUCUCUUCAUUACAAGCUGUUGCAGCAAUGGUAUGAGGAAGAUGUGAAACCCCCCUCUAAGGAUAAGCUUGAUUCCAAGAAGCAAAAGGUGUCUGGUAUCCUAACUGAGGAUUCUUGCUUUUGGGCACAUGUGGAGGAGGCUAUCUUGUCAUGCGAAUUGCUUAAGAGUGAAAACUGUACUCUUGAGCAGGAAAAAUCAUCAUGGGAUAAUCUGGUUAAGUUCGAGGAGUAUGUAAUGGAACAGAUUAACAACUAUGCAGUGUCCCCUGAGAUUUUCUUGGGGGAAAGCAGCUUCAUGAAAUGGUGGGGACUGUAUGAGGGCUACAUAUAUGCUCGCAGUAAUUCCCAUAGGUCACCAUUGAUCAGCUUUAUGAAGAACGGUAGUUAUACAGAGUAUCGUUA
rnacentral:lncRNA from 1 species